UGUAGUUAGUAAGCAUUAAUUUACCAUUUUUAAUCUCAGCUUUACCUUCAACAGUUUCACCGUUUUUAGAACUGAAUGUAC
rnacentral:sRNA from 1 species